rnacentral:rRNA from 1 species
AACGAACGCUGGCGGCAGGCUUAACACAUGCAAGUCGAACGCCCCGCAAGGGGAGUGGCAGACGGGUGAGUAACGCGUGGGAACGUACCUUUCAGUUCGGAAUAACUCAGGGAAACUUGUGCUAAUACCGGAUACGCCCGUAAGGGGAAAGAUUUAUCGCUGAAAGAUCGGCCCGCGUUGGAUUAACUAGUUGGUGGGGUAAUGGCCUACCAAGGCGACGAUCCAUAGCUGGUCUGAGAGGAUGAUCAGCCACACUGGGACUGAGACACGGCCCAGACUCCUACGGGAGGCAGCAGCGGGGAAUAUUGGACAAUGGGCGAAAGCCUGAUCCAGCCAUGCCGCGUGAGUGAUGAAGGCCCUAGGGUUGUAAAGCUCUUUCACCGAUGAAGAUAAUGACGGUAGUCGGAGAAGAAGCCCCGGCUAACUUCGUGCCAGCAGCCGCAGUAA